UCUUUAUUUCUUUACUGGCAAGUUCAAGUACGCCCAAUUAAUCAUUUAUUGAUUUUAGCAGGUCGGUUUCUCUCUUACCGUACCAGGUGGUAAAAAGCAUAAAUCAUCAGUGUCUGUCGAUGAGUCUCGUCGUUUGGUUCUCCCUUUUUUUUCACUGGUUCCUCUCCGUCAUGUUUUGGCCUUGACUACGUUCGUAAUAUUUAUCAAUAAACUUCACUAGCCUUUUAAUUUUGGGGGGGUUAUUAUCUAGCUUGAAUGUUAUUGCCCACAAGUAAAUAUAUCAGUGUAGUGCUACUAUCUACUCAGUUUUAGAGAUAUUGACUAUUGCGAUUUCUCAUGAGUCAUUCUUCAUCGCCAUCUUCAGUCCGCUAUCUCCCUCCCAUUACCAAUUGUGUCGAGUUGGCUGGAUGUUCUUUUUAAAGUAAAAUUUUAGCAAGCUAGUUGCACUCUUUUUGGUAAUUUUCUGGUGUUUUGUGGUGAAAAAUGGAGGGUUCGAGCAUAACACGUCUGGUGCUUCAUCGCACCCAAAGGAUCACAGACAUUUGAGACUGAAAAGCCCUAUACGGAUUGACCAUGCAAUCCAUGCUUCCAGCAGGAUGCACAGCCAACAACUAUGGUUUGCAUGUAGGACACUAUAAUGUGGAAUAUGUGGUUGUUUGUUGGUCCCCAGUGGUGGUGAGUAUAACGGUAGCUAGACCAUAGACUGCUGGUAAUGUAUCUGGCUACGUAUAUUUUGAUAAUUAUUAUUCAGGGCUCCUGAGUGGUGCAGCAGUCUAAGGCACUGCAUCUCAGAGGUAGAGGUGUCACUCCAGACACCCUGGUUCGAAUCCAAACUGUAUCACAACCAGCUGUUAUUAGAAAUCCAAUAGGGCGGCACACAUUUGGCCCAGCGUCAUCCGGAUUUGGCCGGUGUAGACCUCAGAAUGAAAGUGUGUCAUGUGACACAAGUACCCUUGUGACGACACAUCCAUUGUUCCCAAAGUCUCCCUCGACUCCUAUGAAAAGAACACACCAUCACGAGGCCUCUGAUUGUGUCAUCAGGGCAGUGAACGGGUCACUGACGGCUUCAUCAACUACGACAGUAUCUUUGAUGAGGGGCCAGGAGCUGAUUUACGCUGCCAUCCCUCACCUCUUGCCUGCUCACCAACGGUCGUCGAUAGGGAGAACAGAAUUACAACACAGAAACAUGUAUGGAGCCAGCACAUGGAGACUUACAAGAUGAUGUGAUGACGUCCAGACUGACAGACGGGCUUGAUACUGAUGUCUCUGAAUGGAGAGAGACCUGGCACUCAGCAUUAAAACUGUACUGGACACAUCUUAUAUUCUCUUUAUUUAUUAUUGAAAUUAAUGGUAUCAGUCAAUAUGGGGAGGGAGAAACCCUGUGUAUUCUGCACCAGGAACAGGGAACUCCUGUGUAUACUGGAGAGCACAUAGGAAGGUACAGUUGAAGUCGGAAGUUUACAUACUGUCACGCCCUGACCUUAGAGCUUUUUAUGUCUCUCUUUUGGUUUGGUCAGGGUGUGA